GAUGAGGGGCGGGGGGCCAGAGACCCCCCGUUAAAUCGCCAUGUCAACCGACAUGCUGGUCCCAAGCCCAG
rnacentral:ribozyme from 1 species